AGCUCCAAUAGCGUAUAUUAAAGUUGUUGCAGUUAAAAAGCUUGUAGUUGAAGCCAAGGAAAGCGGACGAAGGUCUUUACCUGUGUCCGUGUUUCCACUUUUCGCAAAGACGCCUGGACAUAUUAAUUUAUGUGUAGGUUGAGUUGCGUCGUUUACUGUGAACAAAUUAGGGUGUUUAAAGCAGGCCUACGUUUGAAUACACUAGCAUGGAAUAAUAAGAUAUGACCAAAGUAGUAUUUUGUUGGUGACCACUAUGGUAAUGAUUGAAAGAAACUGUUGUGGGUAUUCGUAUGAGCAUGUCAGAGGUGAAAUUCUUGGAUUUUGAUCAGACGAACUACUGCGAAAGCAUUUACCAAGGAUGUUUUCA
rnacentral:rRNA from 1 species